rnacentral:rRNA from 1 species
ACCUGCACAGGUGCUGCAAGGCUGUCGUCAGCUCGUGUCGUGAAAUGUUGGGUUAAGUCCCGCAACGAGCGCAACCCUUAUCCCCAGUUGCCAUCAGGUAAAGCUGGGAACUCUGGGGAGACUGCCGGUGAUAAACCGAGGAAGGCGGGGAUGACGUCAAGUCCUCAUGGCCCUUACAUCCCGGGCUACACACGUGCUACAAUGGCAGGUACAGAGGGCUGCGAAGCCGCGAGGUGGAGCGAAUCCCAGAAAACCUGUCUCAGUCCGGAUUGAAGUCUGCAACUCGACUUCAUGAAGGCGGAAUCGCUAGUAACCGCGAAUCAGCAGGUCGCGGUGAAUACGUUCCCGGGCCUU